rnacentral:rRNA from 1 species
CCUACGGGGGGCAGCAGUGGGGAAUAUUGGACAAUGGGGGGAACCCUGAUCCAGUCAUGCCGCGUGUGUGAAGAAGGCCCUCGGGUUGUAAAGCACUUUCAGUGAGGAAGAACGCCUGGUGGUUAAUACCCAUCAGGAAAGACAUCACUCACAGAAGAAGCACCGGCUAACUCCGUGCCAGCAGCCGCGGUAAUACGGAGGGUGCGAGCGUUAAUCGGAAUUACUGGGCGUAAAGCGCGCGUAGGUGGCUUGAUAAGCCGGUUGUGAAAGCCCCGGGCUCAACCUGGGAACGGCAUCCGGAACUGUCAAGCUAGAGUGCAGGAGAGGAAGGUAGAAUUCCCGGUGUAGCGGUGAAAUGCGUAGAGAUCGGGAGGAAUACCAGUGGCGAAGGCGGCCUUCUGGACUGACACUGACACUGAGGUGCGAAAGCGUGGGUAGCAAACAGGAUUAGAUACCCCUGUAGUC